UUAAAGGAAGUGGCAUCUGAACCACUUUGAAGAGGGAGGAAGAGUUCCAGAUAUGCAGAAGGCAAAGCCAUGUGGGCAGAGGCAGGGCAUGAACAGAUACAAAGGGACAUGAGUUCAGUCAGUGCUGGGAGACAGAACGAGCCAAGAUGGGGGAACACAAAGGCACAGUGGGGACCAGCAGAGCAGAAAUUCUACAAAUCUGAGCAGGGGCCACAUUUUGAUGAACAUGGAUUCUGGCUAAGAAGUCUGGACUUUUAAACUGAGGGACUUUUAAGUGUUUCUGCAGACAGAGAGGAAGGACAUGGCUGAGCCAUCUGUACUCUGGCAUCAUGAGGCUGUACCCAAAGGAGAGGCUGGGCUGCAGACCAGCAUCGAGGUCGAGGAUCAGGCUGUCCAGGGCAAAUGGCACUGAGGAAGACUCAGCGGGACUGUGGUACAGACCCACUGGGGAUGAAGAGGAGUCCAGGGUGACUUUCAAGUGUUUUGGGGGUGAAUCCUGAGGGGUGUGAGGAUUCAGAUAAGGCCUUAGACUUUGGCCUGUUGGAUUUGAGAUCCUGGUGGAGAUGUUCAGGGUGCCUGUUGCAAGUGGCUGAGAUGCUCAGAUGUGUGAGCUUGGGGGGCCCGCACGUGGCAACAGGAGAGCACAUGGAGAAAGGGCAAGAGAGGUCAGUGCUCGGAGAACCAGCAUUUAGGGUCAGGUGCCAUCUCCUCCCCUGCCUGUUUCUCCAGCAAAUCUGCUCUCAAUCUGCACUCCAGCCAUCUGGGGAGCCUUCUUCCCGGUCUCAGGCUGCUCCCUCUGGAACCUUCCACCUUCCCUGAAGGGGGCGGAGACCGCCCCGGGAUGAGGUCACAGAGCCGAGUGCCCACCCAGAUUAAUCUGAGGGAAAGGGCCGGAUGGGGUGGUAAUGUGACAGAAGAGGGAUGACUGCAGGCGCUGCUGGAGGAGGAGGACUGCACGCAGGUCAGGUCUGGAUUGGAGGCUAGAAGGGACGGGGAGGAGCUCCAAAAUGCAGGGCUUGCGAAUCAGCCAAGUAAGCAGCUAAAGAAAGAAACUUCUCCAGAAAAGGCGCUUCCUCAGAGAUCGCUGGGAUCGCUACAUCUGCCUGAAGGUUGACAAGUGGCAUCCAGGAAGAAGCAGGACAACUCUGGGACAAAAAUUCUGAAGUCUGCCAUGAGAAAACCUUCCUGAUUUUCCUGAGCUCAAGAAAGAAAUGAAAAGGAUGACUUGAUGGAAUUAAAAUUCCUAUUAAUGAGAACAGAAGAUGAAUGCUGGUGUGGCAGAAAUCUUACCAAAACAGAAGGUGCCUCCUCAUUCCCUUCCUCCCUUUCUUUUUAAAACAAGCUUCCCCCUAGUAAGAAACUGAGCAUCUCACAGAAUUAGAUGCUUUGUUAGAACUUCAGGGAACAUCAGCUAAGAACAAGAUCAAAUACCUCUCCUCUAGCUCUCAGGCUGUUACUCAGCUCUCUUACCUUCAUUUUUUCUCCAAUUGUCUUGCUGCAUAAGUUCUUUAGCUUGUUCAAGUUGUCUGCCUGAAAUCUGCCUAAAAAUAAAGAAGCAAAGAAUAUAUCAAAGAAACACACUUAAAAUAUUCCCUGAUCAUGGCUCCUUGGUACUUUCUAUGAUUUAGAUAAUUGUCCCCAAAGGCCUCAUGUGUUAAAAGACGUUUUGGUCCUCAUCUUGGCACUACAGGAAGCUGGAGGAACCUUUAAGAAGUGGGCCCUGGUAGGAGGUCAUAGGUUAUUCGGCAUGACCUCAAGGCGGGUAGUGGAUUUAUCCCCUUAUCUUUCUACUUUUGCCUUCUGGCCACCAGGAGGUUAGCAGCUUCCUCUAUCACACACUCUUGCCAUCAUUUACUGACUCAGCACAGGCCCAAAAGCAACAGAGUCAACUAAUCAUUGACUGAAAUUUCCAAAACUGUGAGCCCAAAUAGGCCUUUCUUCUUUUUAAACUGAUUAGGUAUUUUUUUACAGUUAUGGAAAGCUGACCAACACAGUAUGGAUCUCAACUCAAGAUCAAAAUGGAAACAGAGUGGGCUGGGGAUUUAGCUCAGUGGUUCUGCCACCUGCCUCACAAGCCCAAGGCCCCAAGUUCAAUCCCUGGUACCAAAAAAAAAAAGAUGGAAGCAGAACUGAAGGAACUGCCUCAUGAAGUUAUAAAAUCUUAGAGCUUCAGAGCUCCAAAGUUAGCAUAGACUAGUGACAGCAACAGGCUAUCCCAAGCAUUUGGAGACAAGGAAAAAGCAAUUCUGAGGUUGAAAUUUUAUAAAUCAACAUAUGAUACCACUGUAAAAUAGUACAACUGAGAAAUCUGGAAAAUAUACACACAUAACUGUAACCUGCCUAAUUAUCUUAAGGUUCAUUUAAAGAGACUACAUAUUUGCUAUACAUGGGAAUCUAGAAAAGAGGUAUCAUAUUUUUAUUAUCAUUAGCCUGGUCGCAACAUCUCUUUUAGAAAUGUUUAAUGCUAUUCCUUUUGUAUUAAUGUCAUGCUCAGUUGACAGCCUUUUUUGUAUGUGUGACAGGGUCUUGCUAUGCAGUUAGGCUGGCCUUGAACUCACUAUAUAGCCCAGGUUGGCCUCAAUUUCACAGCAUUCCUCCUGCCUCAGCCUUCCAAGUGCUGGGAUUACAGGCCUGCACCACAACACUCAGCUCAGUUGACAGCUUUGAUAACUUGUUGUAAUUUCACUUCCUCCCUUCUCUCUCUUUCUUUCUUUGUAUUGAGGAUUAAACCCAGGAAGUGAUGAGUUACAUUCAUAGUCCUUUUUAUUUUUUAUUUUGAGACAGGGUCUAAGUUGCCUAGGUUGUCCUCAAACUUGCAUUCUUCUUUUCUCAGCCAAAUAGCACAAAUUAACAUAUUGGUAUUAUAGUUCAUCAGUCUGACUCUGAUUAUGAAAAGUUGAAUCUCUUGAAUCUAAGCAUUUGGGACAACAUGGUAGAAAAAAAAGAUCAAGCUUUUGAGAGGUAAAAUUGAUUACAAGAAAUGACACUGCACCUAUACUAUACUGUACUAUAUUAUGUAAGGUUUUGUCAAUAAGCUUCUCUCUUUAAUGUCUCUUUAAACUUUACCACAAAAUGAUCUAUUUUCCCAUUCAUUUAUUCAUAAUGACAAAAUUAUAGAGAUGGAGAACAGAAUCAGGGGUUGUCAAGGGCUUGAUGAAGGAAGGGAAAGUGAAUAUACAGUACUACAAAGGGACAGCAAGAAAGAUAUUUGUGGUGAUGGAACAGUUCUAUAGCCUGAAUGUGCUGGUAGUUACAAAUAUAUACAUGGUAAAAUCACACAGAAACACACACAUACACACACACACACACACGCACACACACACACACACGAGUGCAUGUAGAACUGGUGAAAAAUGAGUUAAACUUUGUAGACUGUAGCAAUGUCAAUUUCUAGGCUCAGACAGGAGGAUUCCAAGUUCAAACCCAGCCUGGGCAACUAGCAAGACUCUGUCUCAAAAAGACAGAAAAGAAAAGACUGAUAGACAGGCUAAGGAUAUAGCUUAGUGUGAAGGUCACGGUUCAAUCCCCAGUACUACUACCAAAGCAAAAACCCUUGAACACAGACAAUUUUUAGGUACUGACAAAAAAACCUUUAUGAAGUCCUUCCUGAGUACCAGGGGGGAGUGCUAGGUAUUGUAAUUAUAUCUAUAUCUGUGUAUAUCUAUAUGCAUAUAUGUGUUUAAAAUUACUGGAGGUUGUUUUGGAUUUGGGUCCUGUACCAGGUCUUAACAGAGAAGACUAAAAAUCAAAGUGGUACAGUUCCACAUAACCAAACUCAUAAACUGCUAUCUGACCUUCCCAGAAAUCAGGAGAAAAGAGCCACAUUUCCCAAACAGGCCAGUUUCAAUCUGCAUAACAAUGAAGUUUCCUCUUCUUUAAUCCUGACAUUCUUUAACCUUACAAAAGUAAACUGAAGUAAUCAGAUGUUGACCAAUCAAUUCUAUUUCUAUUUUUCUGUCUCCUAUCUUCUUCACUUUACAGGGAAAGUAACUUUGAAAUGACCAAUCCCUUUUAUUUUCUUUGUUUCUGCUCUCUUCAGCCCUUCUCUGCAAACCUACCUCUUCUGCUCAGCUCAUGGAAUACUUAUUCUAUUUUACAGAAUAAAGACUUACUGAUUUCUAAAAUUGCAAAAUAAAGCACAAUUAAAAUCUUUAAAUUGUUAUAAUCUUUUUCUUUGAUACAUGAAUAUCCUAUAUAUGUAACUCAGUCUUUGUCCCUAAAGAACUCACCACAUAUCCAUUAGUCAGAUAAGGGACAAAACUUUUCACACAUGUGUAAUUAUACACACGGGAUAGGCUAACAUACUUAAUGUCAUUUAGCAACUGAGCAAUGGCUGGACUAAUAAAAUACGACACUCUUGACUUCUGAUUUGGUACAAUAGUGCUCAUUAUAUAUUUAUCCUAAACGAAAAUGUGGCAAAUUUCAUUCCAAGACAACUUAAAAUUUCAGAUUCACGUGUGGAGUGGAAGCUUACAAACUACGGCAUUAGAAUACCUAAGGCAUAUACAAUCAGCAGACA